CAGCAAGGAGUGCGGGUGUCUGCCACUGGCUGCGUGGGUGAGCCACCCUGGAAGUGGAUCCACUGAUGCCAGCCAGGCCCCUGGAGGCUGCGGUGCUAGGUGAUGCCCCAUUGGGACCCUUGUAAGACCCUGGACCAGAACCACCCAGCCAGGAAUGCCUUCUUCUAUCCAAGAGUGUGGGAUGGGGUAGACAAUCCCCAAGAGGCCACACUGACAGAGACCAUGCUGAAGCGUAUUGGAGGACAUUAAUCUAGUGCAGACAUAGUCGAA